CAAGAGUAACAGCAGCGCCGUCCCGUCCGACAGCCAGGCCCGGGAGAAGUUAGCACUCUACGUAUAUGAAUAUCUGCUCCAUGUAGGAGCUCAGAAAUCAGCUCAAACAUUUUUAUCAGAGAUAAGAUGGGAAAAAAACAUCACAUUGGGGGAACCACCAGGAUUCUUACAUUCUUGGUGGUGUGUAUUUUGGGAUCUCUACUGUGCAGCUCCAGAGAGACGUGAAACAUGUGAACACUCAAGUGAAGCAAAAGCCUUCCAUGAUUACGUAAGUUAACAUAUAAUUUUACAAAGUUACACUGUCAGUUUUCUGUUUAACCACUGCUCUUAAAAAAUACACUGGCUCAUCUAUUCUUUUGUUUUGGUACUUAAGAAAUUGUUUGGUCUCUUUUUUCUUGAAAAGUAGGUUCAUAACUUUAAAUGUGAAAUAGAAAGGGGCAUUUGAGUCUUGUUAAAGCUUAGGAUAAAGCGUAGGCCUAAUUCUAAGCUAUUAAAGAAAUUUCUUAUCUUUAAGCAUGUCUGAUUUGUGAAAUUUCAGAUUUUAUGAAAAUUAAAUAUAUAGUAAUUUUUUUAUUCUACAAAAACAUUCAUUAUAAGAUUUCUGUAAAUGAUAAAUUUCUCCCUUGCACAUAAGAUUUUUGAUUAAAUAUAGAAAUACUCUAUUCUUCUCCUUUUAUAACUUUUG
rnacentral:lncRNA from 1 species